GCUGGGCGUAGUGGUGCACGCCUGUAAUCCCAGCUACUAAGGAGGCUGAGGCAGGAGAAUUGUUUGAACCCAGGAGGUGGAGGUUGCAGUGAGCUGAGAUUGUGCCACAGCACUCCAGCCUGGGCAACAGAGCAAGAUUCUGUCUCAA
rnacentral:SRP_RNA from 2 species